UCCUUCUUUCUCGAAGAAGUCUAUUACUUAUCCCUCUCUUCUUUUCUUUUCAGACCAGUGAAAAGUCUACUUUUCCUCCCUGUCGCUGUUGUUCAUCUUCAACCUCAGGACAGCCGAACUGAGACCGAGUUGGCUCGGUUUUUCUCCUCCGAAUCCGGCCUUAUCUCUCGUGUAUUCCGAAAAUUAGUUGAGGGGAUUUGUUUCCCUUAUCCUCCUCUAUCUCUUCCCCCAAAAAUCCAGUUUUAUCCCUUUGAAUUCGACGCGAAUUUGGAUUCGUUUGCGAGUUUAUCUCUCCACCAAACCCUAGGUUUUCCCGGCGCGAUUCCUUGCGUUCCAAGCCCGAUCUCUCUCUCCCAUGGCUAUAAAUAGAGUCCCCUCCCUCUCCUCUUUCGUUUGCCACCCUCGCCCGAGCUCGCCGUCGGCCGUAGCGCCCUAGCCGCGUCUGCUCUAGCGCCGCCGUCGCCGCCGAGUUUCCAGCCGCGCCACGCCGCCUUUGCAGCCGCCUUCUCCAGUCGCUGUCGCCACCAUCAGGUUCACGAGGAGGAGCCGCACACCGUCCACCACUCGGCCGAAGCCGAAGCCCGCUGGAGCGCCGCCGACGCCGUCAAGCCGAGCUCACCACCGCCUCGAUCUCGUUGCCGGCCGUUUUUCAUUGUCGUCCUUCGUCGUGCCGCCCCUCACCGCGCCACGCCGCCUUUGCAGCCGCCUUCUCCAGUCGCUGUCGCCACCAUCGGGUUCACGAGGAGGAGCCGCACACCGUCCACCACUCGGCCGAAGCCGAAGCCCGCUGGAGCGCCGCCGACGCCGUCAAGCCGAGCUCACCACCGCCUCGAUCUCGUUGCCGGCCGUUUUUCAUCGUCGUCCUUCGUCGUGCCGCCCCUCACUUGUCGUUUUCGUCGUUGCGAAGGUUCGCGAGUGCGUCGGAAGAGAUUCAGAAGACUAAUUGAAGACCGAUUAUUGCAAG